rnacentral:rRNA from 1 species
ACGAACGCUGGCGGCGUGCUUCACACAUGCAAGUCGAACGGAAAGGCCCUGCUUUUGUGGGGGCCUCGGGGGGCGACCGGGGGAGAAACACGUGGGUAACCUGCCCUGGACUUUGGAUUAACUCCAGGAACUUGGGGCUAAUACCGGAAAGAGGUUCCUGCGCCUUGGUGGGGGUGGGAAAUUUUCGGCGGUUGGGGAUGGACUCGCGGCUUAUCAGCUUGUUGGUGGGGUAGUGGCUUACCAAGGCUUUGACGGGUAGCCGGCCUGAGAGGGUGACCGGCCACAUUGGGACUGAGAUACGGCCCAGACUCCUACGGGAGGCAGCAGUGGGGAAUAUUGCACAAUGGGCGGAAGCCUGAUGCAGCAACGCCGCGUGCGGGAUGACGGCCUUCGGGUUGUAAACCGCUUUCGCCUGUGACGAAGCGUGAGUGACGGUAAUGGGUAAAGAAGCACCGGCUAACUACGUG